rnacentral:rRNA from 1 species
GAUGAACGCUGGCGGCGUGCCUAAUACAUGCAAGUCGAGCGAACGGACGAGAAGCUUGCUUUUCUGAUGUUAGCGGCGGACGGGUGAGUAACACGUGGAUAACCUACCUAUAAGACUGGGAUAACUUCGGGAAACCGGAGCUAAUACCGGAUAAUAUUUUGAACCGCAUGGUUCAAAAGUGAAAGACGGUCUUGCUGUCACUUAUAGAUGGAUCCGCGCUGCAUUAGCUAGUUGGUAAGGUAACGGCUUACCAAGGCAACGAUGCAUAGCCGACCUGAGAGGGUGAUCGGCCACACUGGAGCUGAGCCACGGUCCAGACUCCUACGGGAGGCAGCAGUAGGGAAUCUUCCGCAAUGGGCGAAAGCCUGACGGAGCAACGCCGCGUGAGUGAUGAAGGUCUUCGGAUCGUAAACUCUGUUAUUAGGGAAGAACAUAUGUGUAAGUAACUGUGCACAUCUUGACGGUACCUAAUCAGAAAGCCACGGCUAACUACGUG